UUUUUAGCUGCUCACAAAAUGUAUCCUCACUAUAUAAUUUUCUUCCGCCUGUUAUCCCACGCCCUACUGAUUUUAAAUCUGUGCUAUCCUUUGUACAUACACCAUUUGUUGAUACUUUGUGUAGAGCAACAGUUUCUUUCAAUAUCGGUAAAAAAAAAACUUUUUUCUUUUUAUUUAACUUGUACUUCCACAAUUAUUGAUAAAUAGCAAAGUCAGUCUUGUCAAUGUCCCAACUGAACAACAGACACUCACCGAACAUUGAAGCAUCUACUCUGAUACUGGCAAUUCCGCAAGGGUGCUAAAGCCAAAGAAGAAGAAGAAUUCUCGACAUUUGU